GUGGGGAAUCUUGUGCAAUGGGCGAAAGCCUGACGCAGCCAUGCCGCGUGAAUGAUGAAGGUCUUAGGAUUGUAAAAUUCUUUCACCGGGGACGAUAAUGACGGUACCCGGAGAAGAAGCUCCGGCUAACUUCGUGCCAGCAGCCGCGGUAAUACGAAGGGGGCUAGCGUUGCUCGGAAUUACUGGGCGUAAAGGGCGCGUAGGCGGACAGCUUAGUCAGAGGUGAAAGCCCAGGGCUCAACCUUGGAAUUGCCUUUGAUACUGGCUGUCUUGAGUUUGGGAGAGGUGAGUGGAACUCCGAGUGUAGAGGUGAAAUUCGUAGAUAUUCGGAAGAACACCAGUGGCGAAGGCGACUCACUGGCCCAAUACUGACGCUGAGGCGCGAAAGCGUGGGGAGCAAACAGGAUUAGAUACCCCGGUAGUCC
rnacentral:rRNA from 1 species